rnacentral:rRNA from 1 species
UACGUAGGGUGCAAGCGUUGUCCGGAAUUAUUGGGCGUAAAGAGCUCGUAGGCGGUUUGUCGCGUCUGCUGUGAAAACUCGGGGCUUAACUCCGGGCCUGCAGUGGGUACGGGCAGACUAGAGUGCGGUAGGGGAGACCGGAAUUCCUGGUGUAGCGGUGAAAUGCGCAGAUAUCAGGAGGAACACCGGUGGCGAAGGCGGGUCUCUGGGCCGUAACUGACGCUGAGGAGCGAAAGCGUGGGGAGCGAACAGG